CCUGUAACCUGCAAUUAGUAAUGGACUUUUAUUUUUGCGGGCCCACUUCCUGUUUGCCCCAAACUCCGCUAGCUUAUUUAAAGCCACGCCUCCAGCGCGCAGUUUAAAGAUCCUCACCUGUUUCCACUGUGGUUGUGGCUUGUUGUUGGCGUCUUCUUCACGGAGUCAUCAAAAUCUUUAAGUCCACUGAUUUGAUUGCCUGAAUUAUUGGCGUUGUUACCUGGAUGUCACCGGGGUUCUGGCACAGCUGAUUGUGGCUGGGCGUGCCCACUCUCUUGAUAAGGUCGGGUUUUUUUUUUCCCGGUUGGAUCAGAUCCUCAUCAGGAUUUGAAGAUGGCGAGCUAAGGAAAAGAACUCUGAACUUAAUGAUUUUGCAAUUAAUUUAUUCUGGGUCAAUUGUCUUGUCUCAUUGUGUUGUUGUAAUUGUUGUUUUAUUCAAAUCACUUAAUAUAUAUUCACCAAAACUAAAAACACUGCCUCCUGUUUUCUCCACACCUCGGGCUCCUAAAAGAACACUCUUCUGAUGCUGCUUUGGUAGCCGCAGUUAGCUGCCUAGCCCAUAACUGUUACAUGUUG